GGAUUACUCCUUUACGCUUUCGCGUUUGGUUGAUAAAGAUUCGCACCUCUAUCAAACCGGGUAAUCCCACCUCUUGGCAAGACCUGCUGUCAGAUCAAAUCUGAACUACUACAGUUUAUACGUAAUAAAUGAGCAUUUUGAGCCUAUUUUUAACGUAGAAAUGGCAACACAGGUAGUUU
rnacentral:sRNA from 1 species